rnacentral:lncRNA from 1 species
UUGUAACCCAAGACCCUCCAAAGACAGCUCGGGGAGCCAAUCAGAUUGUGACAAGUUCCAGUUAUCCUGUUCUAAAGAAGAGCUGACCCGCAUAAGCAUAAACAGAGAAGACAGGGCAAAAGAGGAGAGGCCUGGACCCUAGGCCUCAAGAUACCCAUAAGAAAGAAAAUACAAAGUGGAUGGACCUGUCAGGAAACUGCUAAGUCCAUGUGGAGCUCCCAAAAGAAAGGAACCGGGUGAGAUGACAUUUCUGGUUUCUUCAAACUAACAAACUUCUCUUCAAGCAAGUUUUGGGAAGAAGUCUGGUAUGCUCCCUCCUCUGUUGAUUAGUUUUGAGGUUGUUGUCUCCUUCCUU